CUCAAAGCUGCAGUGCACUGGCUCAAUGUUUUCCUUCUUUUUCUGCUCCCUUGACAGCCGUCCAAACUGCAUGAGGAUAACAAGCCGGUCUGCCUGCUUUAGCUACAGCUCCCAUCGAUCUGUUGUUUGGUUCCCUACCAAAUCUCUUGUAUUUCUAUUUCGGUUAUAGGAUUUGCUUCUCGGAGGAACUGAAUGGACACAAGACUUAGUUUAUUUUCGCUCCUGCAGAAGGCCUUCAGGAGGCCUGUUGUCGGGGUAACUGCAUUUUCUUACGAGGCAGGACUAGCAGAAGACAGGCACUCACUGAAAGGCUGCUAUGAUGGAGUUGCCACAGACAGAUCUGACCUGGACGGGAGCUCUUUUCCCGCUGCUGCGCAACAGAAUAAUCAGAACCCGAGUUAGGUCCGGUCCAAAUUCACGCUCCUCUCCACUCGGGGCAGCCCACACACCGAUUCAGCGCCAGCCCGUUUGGGUUCCCCUGCCGAGCCUCACUUCGGGUUUGAUGGUUGCUCCUCACAAGGAGGUCCAGUUCCAGAGCUGGCUUGGCGGACCACUCGUCAUUGAGAAAGGAGGGAGAUCAUUGUUCCAACAACGCUCCAUGGACCAACUUACAGACACAGUUAGAAGUCGAGAUUUGGCAGCCG
rnacentral:lncRNA from 1 species